rnacentral:rRNA from 1 species
GUGGAUAAUCUUCCCUCAAGUGGGGAAUAACUUACCGAAAGGUGAGCUAAUACCGCAUAUGAUCACAGUGACUGAGGUCACAGGGAUAAAAGGGGGCGCAAGCUCUCGCUCGAGGAUGAGUCUGCGCCUGAUUAGCUAGUUGGCGGGGUAACUGCCCACCAAGGCGAUGAUCAGUAGCUGGUCUUAGAGGAUGUCCAGCCACACUGGAACUGAGAUACGGUCCAGACUCC